rnacentral:rRNA from 1 species
UACGUAGGGUGCGAGCGUUAAUCGGAAUUACUGGGCGUAAAGCGUGCGCAGGCGGUUUUGUAAGUCAGAUGUGAAAUCCCCGGGCUUAACCUGGGAACUGCGUUUGAAACUACAAGGCUAGAGUGUGGCAGUGGGGGGUGGAAUUCCACGUGUAGCAGUGAAAUGCGUAGAGAUGUGGAGGAAUACCGAUGGCGAAGGCAGCCCCCUGGGAUGAUACUGACGCUCAUGCACGAAAGCGUGGGGAGCAAACAGG